GAUACCAGUCCUUUAUUAGCUGUGUCUUAUGCAGAUAUUUUUCUUUUCCUUAGAACCCUCUUACCCAUUUCUAAGUGUAUGUUUCAGUGAUGUUGAGCAUAUUCAUGCUGUUGUGCAGUCAGUCUCUAGAUCUUUUCCAUCUUGCAAAGCAGAAACUGUCCCCUUAAAGAAGCAGCUGUCCCCCAGCCCCUGGCAACCACCGGUGCCCUUUCUGUCUCUAUGAACCUGACUACUGUUGCUUAUUUCACUGAGCAUAAUGUCCUCAAGGUUCAUCCAUGCAUGGCCUGGGGCAGCUUCUUUCCUAUUUUAAGGGCUGAAUAAUAGCCCAUUGCCCUCAGGUGUUUCCAUCACAUUUUGUUUACCCUUUGUUCAUCCGUCAAUGGACACUUGGUUGCCUCCCCCUUUUGGCUGUUGUGAAUCGUGCUGCUGUGGACUUGGGUGUUGCAGAUAACGUCUUUGAGGUCCUGCUUUCAUAUGUUUGGGUACGUUUGGGUAUGUACCCAAAAGUGGGAUUGCAGGAUCAUAUCGUAGUUCUGAUUUUAAUUUUGGGGGACCCCCUGUGCUCUUUCCCACCGUGGCUUCACCAGUUUACAUUCCUACCAGCCGUGCACCAGGGUUCCCAUUUUUCUACAUCCUCACCAAUACUUGUUAUUUUCUGUGUUUUGAUAAUGAUUAUCCUGUCCGUUUUGUUUUGAGUGACUUGCCUGAGGUGACACCCUGGGAGGUGACAGCCCAGCUGGGGUUUAGGGGAGAAUGUAGGGGCUCCAGGCAUUUCACUGUCCUUCCCUUUAGAGGAAAAUGUCAUCUCCCCAGAGGCUCAGGGAAGGUUGUCAUCACUUCCUCUGACCAGAGGGCUGCUGGGCUUCUCUUUUUCCAGGUCCCACUGGGGCUGGUGAGCAGGUGCUUCUGGGCACCUGUUUGCUAGGCUCCUGACUGAUCAGGGGAACAAGAACACUUCUGUCCCUUUUCCUGUGGCAUAUGGAAGGUCCCAGGCCAGGGAUCGAAUCUGAGCUGCAUCUGUGCCCUAUGCAGCUGUGGCAACGCUGGCUCCUUAACCCCCUGCACCAGGCCAGGGAUCAAACCCACAUUUCCAUAGUAACCAGAGCUGCUGCAGUUGGAUUCCUAACCCACUGUGCCACAGCAGGAACUCUCUGUUGAGCAUUUGAAGACAGAUAAUGGCUGAAAGAGUGAUGCUGUGUAUGUUUGUAAUUCUAAAAUGCUCAGCUCAGGAAGGUAAGACUAAGUCAUUAAGUCCACACACAUUGAGCACCUACUGUUUGUGGGCACGAGAGGGGAGCAUGGAGAGAAUGGGGCUUGGCUCCUGUCCAGGGAGUGGGGAGAGAGCCCAGUGCCAUGAGAACUGUGGGUGUGGCCGGUACACACAGUUCAGAGAAAGGGAGCACGACCUUUGCCCUGCCUUGCCUCCACUGUGUGCACUGCAGCCUGGUGUUUUCUGCUCUGUUUAAAUCUGUUUAAAUGUUUAAAUUAAAUCCUAUUAAUUCUUAAUGUUUUAAAGUUAAAUUUUAUAUUUUCAUUGAAGUGUUUUAUUUUUAAAAAUUUGGGUCACAAACCACCAAAGUGAUUUCAUAAACCAGUGAUGGGUCUCUUCUAGCUUUUUGAAAAUUUCCAGGAUGGUAGACGUUGCUGAGCUGUUGUGUGGUGGUGUGGUCUGUGGUGUCAGGAUAAGAAGUGUGUGUGAUAGAAAUUGCAUGCCGGGGUUCAGGCAGGGGCUCGCCAGGGCCUCUUCCCUGCAGAUGGGCCAGGACGGUCCUAGAAGCAUAUCCGCCUUCUGAUCCCAGGCUUUGAGCUGCGGGAGCCUGUGUGGCUUUCCUGCUGGGUUAAUACUUGAUAAGCUUCAUAAACUUGCAGAUUGAACUUGGAGAGUGAAAACAAGAAUGAUUUAUUACUUUUGUUUCUGAGCCCAAACCUGCCAACGUAAAGGAAAGCUUCUAACAUGGACAGAAUUAUUCAUUAUUAGUCACAAGAAGGCAACACACAGAAGAGUGUUUGUUUAUCACAACCUCUCACUUCCUUGUUUUGCGGGUU
ensembl:lncRNA